rnacentral:rRNA from 1 species
AUUGAACGCUGGCGGCAUGCCUUACACAUGCAAGUCGAACGGUAACGGGCCUUCGGGUGCCGACGAGUGGCGAACGGGUGAGUAAUGUAUCGGAACGUACCUUUCAGUGGGGGAUAACGUAGCGAAAGUUACGCUAAUACCGCAUAUUCUGUGAGCAAGAAAGCAGGGGAUCGCAAGACCUUGCGCAGAUUGAGCGGCCGAUAUCAGAUUAGCUAGUUGGUGAGGUAAAGGCUCACCAAGGCGACGAUCUGUAGCGGGUCUGAGAGGAUGAUCCGCCACACUGGAACUGAGACACGGUCCAGACUCCUACGGGAGGCAGCAGUGGGGAAUUUUGGACAAUGGGGGCAACCCUGAUCCAGCCAUGCCGCGUGAGUGAAGAAGGCCUUCGGGUUGUAAAGCUCUUUCGGCCGGGAAGAAAUCGUAUCAGCUAAUACCUGGUGCGGAUGACGGUACCGGCAUGAGAAGCACCGGCUAACUACGUGCCAGCCGCCGCAGUAACAC